rnacentral:tRNA from 1 species
GAGGGUAUAGCUCAAAUGGCAGAGCGCAUGCUUAGCAUGCACAGGUCCUGGGUUCAAUUCUCAGGACCUCCA